CCUACGGGUGGCAGCAGUGGGGAAUAUUGGGCAAUGGGCGCAAGCCUGACCCAGCAACGCCGCGUGAAGGAAGAAGGCUUUCGGGUUGUAAACUUCUUUUGUCAGGGACGAAGCAAGUGACGGUACCUUACGAAUAAGCCACGGCUAACUACGUGCCAGCAGCCGCGGUAAUACGUAGUUGGCAAGCGUUAUCCGGAUUUACGGGGUGUAAAGGGCGGGUAGGCGGGGAAGCAAGUCAGAUGUGAAAACCACGGGCUCAACCUGUGGCCUGCAUUGGAAACUGUUUUUCUUGAGUGCUGGAGAGGCAAUCGGAAUUCCGUGUGUAGCGGUGAAAUGCGUAGAUAUACGGAGGAACACCAGUGGCGAAGGCGGAUUGCUGGACAGUAACUGACGCUGAGGCGCGAAAGCGUGGGGAGCAAACAGGAUUAGAUACCCUUGUAGUC
rnacentral:rRNA from 1 species